UUUCUUCUUCUCUUGUUUUUUGUUUUUUGUUUCUUUCUGGUUUUAUUGGUUUUAUUUUUGAACUCUUGUCUACUUUUUUCUAUUUAAACAAUGUAUAUUUUUAGAGUACAUGUAAACUGGUUUUUUAAUACACGUAGGACAUUGUGAACCAUGAGUGGUUAGGAGAAUAGUGGUAUUCUCAGUUCAUUAAGGUUUAAGUUCUAGACGGAAG
rnacentral:lncRNA from 1 species